rnacentral:rRNA from 1 species
CCAUGCCGUAAACGAUGAGUGCUAGGUGUCGGGAGUCAAAUCUCGGUGCCGGCGUCAACGCAAUAAGCACUCCGCCUGGGGAGUACGUGCCCACGCAUGAAACUCAAAGGAAUUGACGGGGACCCGCACAAGCAGCGGAGCAUGUGGUUUAAUUCGAAGCAACGCGAAGAACCUUACCAGGGCUUGACAUAUAGGCGCCCGAUAUAGAGAUAUAUCCUUUUCUUCGGAAACGCCUAUACAGGUGGUGCAUGGUUGU